GCUGGGUGAGGUGGUGCACAUCUGUCAUUCUAGCAGCUUGGGAGGCUGAGGCAGGAGGAUUGCGAGUUCCAAGCCAGCCUCAGCAAAAGCGAGGCACUAAGCAACUCAGUGAGACCCUGUCUCUA
rnacentral:sRNA from 1 species